rnacentral:rRNA from 1 species
AUUGAACGCUGGCGGCAGGCUUAACACAUGCAAGUUGAGCGGGGUGAUGGUGCUUGCACUAUCACUUAGCGGCGGACGGGUGAGUAAUGCUUAGGAAUCUGCCGAUUUGUGGGGGACAACAUCUCGAAAGGGAUGCUAAUACCGCAUACGUCCUACGGGAGGAAGCAGGGGAUCACUUGUGACCUUGCCCUAAUAGAGUACCCUGAGGCGGAUGAGCUAGUUGGUGGGGUAAAGGCCUACCCAGGCGCCGAUCUGUAGCGGGUCUGAGAGGAUGCUCCGCCACCCUGGGACUGAGACACGGCCCAGACUCCUACGGGAGGCAGCAGUGGGGAAUAUUGGACAAUGGGGGGAACCCUGAUCCAGCCAUGCCGCGUGUGUGAAGAAGGCCUUAUGGUUGUAAAGCACUUUAAGCGAGGAGGAGGCUCUUUUGGUUAAUACCCCAGAUGAGUGGACGUUACUCGCAGAAUAAGCUCCGGCUAACUCUGUGCCAGCCGCCGCAGUAA